GCGGACGUGGCGAAAUGGCAGACGCACUACCUUGAGGUGGUAGCGCCGCAAGGCAUGUGGGUUCGACUCCCACCGUCCGCA
rnacentral:tRNA from 1 species